rnacentral:rRNA from 1 species
GACGAACGCUGGCGGCGUGCCUAAUACAUGCAAGUCGAGCGCAGGAAACUGACGGAACUCUUCGGAGGGAAGGCAGCGGAAUGAGCGGCGGACGGGUGAGUAACACGUAAGGAACCUGCCUCAAGGAUUGGGAUAACUCCGAGAAAUCGGAGCUAAUACCGGAUAGUUCAACGGACCGCAUGGUCCGCUGAUGAAAGGCGCUUCGGCGUCACCUUGAGAUGGCCUUGCGGUGCAUUAGCUAGUUGGUGGGGUAACGGCCCACCAAGGCGACGAUGCAUAGCCGACCUGAGAGGGUGACCGGCCACACGGGGACUGAGACACGGCCCAGACUCCUACGGGAGGCAGCAGUAGGGAAUCUUCCACAAUGGACGAAAGUCUGAUGGAACAACGCCGCGUGAGUGAUGAAGGUUUUCGGAUCGUAAAACUCUGUUGUAAGGGAAGAACACGUACGAGAGGAAAUGCUCGUACCUUGACGGUACCUUACGAGAAAGCCACGGCUAACUACGUGCCAGCAGCCGCCGUAAUAC